AAAGUCCCCUCAACAUAUGGAUUUUGCAGGACACAAUGAAGCCCCAAACAGGGUUGAUGGUAGGGUGAUUUGCCCGGCUACACAUUUGCACCCUACCUGCUCCUGAGAAAAAUCUGAGACCUUUAAUAACGUUGACUCCCUGGUCCCAAUUGUGGAGAUACUGAUUCUGUGGGUGUGGAGUAAGAUCGGCAGAAGCAACCAGAGCAUCAGUACUUUGCAAAAGCUCUCUGGGGCUCGCUGUUUAAUGUGGACACCUUAAGCAGCCCGGGCAGCACCUGGAGUUGUGAGAAACUCAGACUCUCAGGCCCUAAGUGCAACUGUUGGACGAGAAUGUGUUUUUGCACAAGAUACUUAGGCAAUUCCUUAGAUUCCCUGAGGCUUAAGAAGCACAGCCCGGGAGAUUUGAGAGCGUGGCCCAAACCGAGAAGUUUGGAUCCGGAUCUCUGGGCUUUGCUCAUACCCUACCUUCCUUCAAUACCAAGAACAUCCCG
rnacentral:sRNA from 1 species